rnacentral:piRNA from 1 species
UAAGCCAAUCGCUUUCCAAUCCGUCCC